AAGACUUUACUCUCAAGGACUAUUCUUGAACUCAGUGCCUGGAGGCCUUUCUGUGAUUGUGUAAAGCACUGCCAACAUUGGGGGAGUGGGGGACCGACGCAGCAUUCUCUCCUCAAAGUGAGGCCGGCACUUGGUCUUGCUUUGCUUUACUGCCAGUUGUCACUGGUGACUGUGCUUCUCUUCCCGUGGGAGAGUGGGGGGAACAGAACGCCCUCUAAGUGGC